CGGGUGAGUAACACGUAAAUAACCUGCCCUCAAAUUUGGGAUACCAUUGCUAACGCGAUGUUAAUACCGGAUGUGGAUAGAGAGACUCCUGUCUUUCUGUUUAAAGGUCCUUCACGGGACUGUUUGAGGAUGGAUUUGCGCACCAUUAGUUAGUUGGUAGGGUAACGGCCUACCAAGACGAUGAUGGUUAGCCGACCUGAGAGGGUGAUCGGCCACAUUGGGACUGAGACACGGCCCAGACUCC
rnacentral:rRNA from 1 species